UCGACCGCAAGGUCGAGGUGAUCCUUCCGCGUAACACUUGCCGAAGCCUUAGCAGCCUGAAAAGGUGCAGCCCCGACGACUAUAAUCACGAAGAGGGUUGCUUAAAUGCUAGUCCGCGCACAGCGGGCGACACUAUCAAAUUGCGGGAACACCCUAAAGACCUCAACACCAAGCGAUCGCGGGAAACCGCGGCGUGGCCGAGCUAAUAGCCCUGGGUAUGGUAACAGCUUGAGGUAUGACGCCCCCUCUAGGGGUUGAAAUGGGCAAUCCGCAGCCAAGUCCUAAAGCGCCCGAGUGUGGGCGCCAUGGAUGCUGUUCACAGGCCAAAUGGUAGUGGGUGACUCUAGACAGAGUUGCUUAAGAUAUGGUCGGGCCCCUUCAGAAAUAUUGGGGAUAAGUUUACGCAGACAGAUAUGCUCUAAUUGAGCUUUCUGUAAAUAUAACCGUUCCGUAGGUGAACCUGCGGAAGGAUCAUUA
rnacentral:rRNA from 1 species